rnacentral:rRNA from 1 species
GGACGAACGCUGGCGGCGUGCUUACCCCAUGCAAGUCGAACAGAAAGGCCCUGCUUUUGUGGGGUGCUCGAGUGGCGAACGGGUGAGUAACACGUGAGUAACCUGCCCUUGACUUUGGGAUAACUUCAGGAAACUGGGGCUAAUACCGGAUAGGAGCUCCUGCUGCUUGGUGGGGGUUGGAAAGUUUCGGCGGUUGGGGAUGGACUCGCGGCUUAUCAGCUUGUUGGUGGGGUAGUGGCUUACCAAGGCUUUGACGGGUAGCCGGCCUGAGAGGGUGACCGGCCACAUUGGGACUGAGAUACGGCCCAGACUCCUACGGGAGGCAGCAGUGGGGAAUAUUGCACAAUGGGCGGAAGCCUGAUGCAGCAACGCCGCGUGCGGGAUGACGGCCUUCGGGUUGUAAACCGCUUUCGCCUGUGACGAAGCGUGAGUGACGGUAAUGGGUAAAGAAGCACCGGCUAACUACGUG